rnacentral:rRNA from 1 species
CUAACAAGGAUUCCCCCAGUAACGGCGAGUGAAGCGGGAUGAGCUCAAAUUUGAAAUCUCCGGUGCCUGCACCGGCGAGUUGUAGUUGCGAGAAGCACUUUCUAGGCGGAUCGGCGGCGCCUAAGUUGCUUGGAACAGCAUGUCGCAGAGGGUGACAACCCCGUCUGUGGCGUGGCCGGCCGCUGACGAUGUGCUUUCGAAGAGUCGGGUUGUUUGGGAAUGCAGCCCAAAAUGGGUGGUAAACUCCAUCUAAAGCUAAAUAUUGGCGUGAGACCGAUAGCGAAGGAAACGAAUGGACUCAGCAAUGCGCCGUUUGAGAUUCAGCCGGUGGGUGGGAUCGGCUCGGGGUUUGCGGAUCUGAAUGGACCGCGGCCUUGGGCUCGUUUGUCCUCGCCGUCGCACUUCUCUUGGGCGCACGUCAACGUCGGUUGGGACUGGGUCUGAAAGGUGCCGGGAAGGUAGGUCUGGACCCCCGGGUCCGGUCUGUUACAGCCCGGUUCUCUCAUGGCUCGGGCCCGACCGAGGAGUGGCAGCGCAUGCCUCUUGUGGCUAGGGUGCCGUCCUUCCGGCCGGUUGUCGAAUGCGGUGGACUGCUUGCAGUGCUCCGCGACUGCUGCCGGUCGUUGGGGUGGUGAUCU